rnacentral:rRNA from 1 species
AGGACGAACGCUGGCGGCGUGCUUAACACAUGCAAGUCAAGGGGGCCCAGCAAUGGGCAACCGGCGAACGGGUGCGUAACACGUGAGCAACCUACCGAACUGUGGGGGAUAGCCGGCCUAACGGCCGAGUAAUACCGCAUACGCUCUCAGGGAGGCAUUUCUUUGAGAGGAAACCUACGGGACAGAUCGAGGGGCUCGCGGCCUAUCAGCUAGUUGGCGAGGUAACGCUCACCAAGGCAACGACGGGUAGC